CCACCAAGAGGUACACGCGGCUUCUCACGCGGCCAAGUAGAAAACCAUUUGCCAGUCACCGUAUAUUUAAACUCUCAAAAAAACCUCCACCUGUUUAGCAAUAUCCGUCUGCUCCUUUAUCGUCGCUUCGGCCAUGACUAUUUGGUUAUAUUUGGAGACUGGGAAAGUUCGAUUAAUUGAUCGGGGAUUGGAUCCAACGGAUUUUAUGGUAAUUAUAUCCGGCUCGACGGACCAAAUGUUGAGAAAACUUUUCUUUUGUACCGCUCCGGUAUCUGAGAAAAGUUUUCGGGUAUGAUAAUAUUGCUCCCAAUGGUUGUAGGAAGCAAUAUUGUUGGGUAAGUGAGAGUGCAAAUAAGAAUACGAACUAAAAUGCUCGUUUAAAUUGUUUAUUCACACUGUCUUAUUAUAGUUCACUAAAUGCUAUUUAUACUUAAUAAAUGACCUACAUUUCGUUAAAGUCUUACAUUGCAAUAUGCAAUAUGACGGUAAAAUAUUCUAAUAAAGACAAAUAAUUGCGUUA